GGGCUUGCUCCAAUUAGUUAGUGGCAGACGGGUGAGUAACACGUGGGAAUCUGCCCAUCAGUACGGAAUAACUUUUAGAAAUAAAAGCUAAUACCGUAUAUUCUCUACGGAGGAAGAUUUAUCGCUGAUGGAUGAGCCCCGCGUCAGAUUAGGUAGUUGGUGAGGUAAUGGCUCACCAAGCCUACGAUCUGUAGCUGGUCUGAGAGGAUGAUCAGCCACACUGGGACUGAGACACGGCCCAG
rnacentral:rRNA from 1 species